GCCAGGCGUGGUGGUGCACACUUGUAAUCCCAGCUACUUGGGAGGCUGAGACAGGAGAAUCGCUUGAACCCAGGAGGCAGAGGUUGCAGUGAGCCAAGAUUGUACCACUGCACUCUAGCCUGGGUGACAGAGCAAGACUCUGUCUCAA
ensembl:misc_RNA Metazoa_SRP Metazoan signal recognition particle RNA